CCUACAUGAGAAAUUUCUAAGCACCAUCAUCGACAAUUUCCUUAAAAAAUUUCCCACCCUUUAUAUAGAUGUGAAAAGUCAACAUUAGCUCUCAAACAGUUGAGAUGGUUGGAUUCGCUUCUUUCAAAGUGGGGAUUAUGUUCUUCUAGCGAACAUGUUUGCAAGUGCUAGCCAAUGGAACAAAGUGACAAGAGUGAGAGAGGCAAUGAGAAACAGAGGAGUUCAGAAACCAGAGCCAGGUAAGAAGUUCUGGAAUGUGUUUCAUCUGCAGCCUAUGCGUGAUCAGAAGGUACAAUUCCAAAAAAAAAAUAUCAUCUAAUUUCACAUUAUUUCCAUUGCUUUAUGAUUAUACAAUUCCAAAAAAAUGAGAACCAGAGGUUAACAGUACACAGACUGCUGAAAUUGAUGUUUUACCAAUAGAUCACUACUAUGAUGCCUUAGGAGGGCCUGAAUUGGAUACUCUCAGGGUACAUGGACUUUUCUUUUUUUUUUUUUUUUUGCUGCUACUGUUGUUGUGCUCCAUUUGCUUCGUUCAGCUGACAAGAUAUCAUCUCU